rnacentral:rRNA from 1 species
UACGUAGGGUGCAAGCGUUAUCCGGAAUUAUUGGGCGUAAAGGGCUCGUAGGCGGUCUGUUGCGUCGGGAGUGAAAACUCAGGGCUUAACCCUGAGCCUGCUUCCGAUACGGGGCAGACUAGAGGUAUGCAGGGGAGAACGAAUUCCUGGUGUAGCGGUGAAAUGCGCAGAUAUCAGGAGGAACACCGGUGGCGAAGGCGGUUCUCUGGGCAUUACCUGACGUGAGGAGCGAAAGUGUGGGGAGCGAACAGG